rnacentral:rRNA from 1 species
AUGCUUCAGAUACCUUCACUGAAGAUGCGUACACUGCUGAUCAGGUACAUGGUUGAGAUUUUUGAUCCUAGUGUCAAGGGCAGAUUCAUUGUACAAGACUUGGUUGGCGAAGUGUCUCUCGGUCCCGUGGAUGUUGAGUGCAUCUUGGCCUUGGAGAACCACAGACUGUCGGCAGAAGGUAUUCUCGGUGAGGAAGGUGAGGAUGUUAAAGAUCGAGUGCCGUCUCAAUUCCUGAGCAAGACCACAGGUAACAUAGUUAUCGAUGAUCUGAUUGUGGACAUCACAAAAAAUAAAUCUGCCGACGACGAUUUCCUUCGGAGAGUUGUCCUCAUGUUGCUUGGAACAGUUCUUGCUCCCAUGUCAAGCAAGACUGUACCAAAGCAAUAUUACGCAUUGGUGGAGGAUGUGAAGCGUAUAUCCAAGAUUAAUUGGAAUGCAUUCACCCUCCGGGUUCUGCUGGACUGCCUUCGCAACGUGAGGAAAGGCAAACACCUCCGCCAAUGGCCGAGAGGGAACUUAGCUCUCCUGCAGGUACACCUUUCAGACUUGUACCAUUGCAAAAAAAGUAUGAUUGCUAAUUUACCUGCUGUAUAG